rnacentral:rRNA from 1 species
AUUGAACGCUGGCGGCAGGCCUAACACAUGCAAGUCGAGCGGAUGAGUGGAGCUUGCUCCAUGAUUCAGCGGCGGACGGGUGAGUAAUGCCUAGGAAUCUGCCUGGUAGUGGGGGACAACGGUUCGAAAGGAACGCUAAUACCGCAUACGUCCUACGUGAGAAAGCAGGGGACCUUCGGGCCUCGCGCUACCAGAUGAGCCUAGGUCGGAUUAGCGAGUAGGUGGGGUAAUGGCCCACCUAGGCGACGAUCCGUAACUGGUCUGAGAGGAUGAUCAGUCACACUGGAACUGGGACACGGUCCAGACUCCUACGGGAGGCAGCAGUGGGGAAUAUUGGACAAUGGGCGAAAGCCUGAUCCAGCCAUGCCGCGUGUGUGAAGAAGGUCUUCGGAUUGUAAAGCACUUUAAGUUGGGAGGAAGGGCAGUAAGUUAAUACCUUGCUGUUUUGACGUUACCAACAGAAUAAGCACCGGCUAACUUCGUGCCAGCCGCCGCAGUAAUAC